rnacentral:lncRNA from 1 species
AAGCCGACCAACGAGCUUCCUUAUCGUCUUUCCAGAAUUCUGCUCUUUCUGGAGUCCAUUGGACUUGGCUUGCAGUUCAAACAAGGCCAGGUGUGAAUGGGAAAGUUAUGAGAAUAGAUGCCAGAACUGUAGCGACCAGAAAAUAUAAGGUCCACGUCCCAUAUUUAGGACAGAGAGAAGAACAGUUGAUCCGGCAAAGGAGCACCUACCCACUCCGCCCCACGUUCGCCACUUCUGUGCACUCACGGCUCUCCAAAUGCCAAGGACACUGAGCCACCGAGACAAGAAACGGCCAACCUAAGGUCACGUGGCGAGUUUUUCAAAUGGAGAUACGAAUAAACUCAGGACUCUUGACUGACUUUCUGAUUGGAGAUAUAGUAUUGCUACUUCUGAAAUGACCAUUAUUCAUCAAGAACCCACACGUACUGUACACAUUGACAAAAGACUAAAAAAUAAGCAGG